AGUCGAACGCUUCUUUUUCCACCGGAGCUUGCUCCACCGGAAAAAGAAGAGUGGCGAACGGGUGAGUAACACGUGGGUAACCUGCCCAUCAGAAGGGGAUAACACUUGGAAACAGGUGCUAAUACCGUAUAACAAUCAAAACCGCAUGGUUUUGAUUUGAAAGGCGCUUUCGGGUGUCGCUGAUGGAUGGACCCGCGGUGCAUUAGCUAGUUGGUGAGGUAACGGCUCACCAAGGCCACGAUGCAUAGCCGACCUGAGAGGGUGAUCGGCCACAUUGGGACUGAGACACGGCCCAAACUCCUACGGGAGGCAGCAGUAGGGAAUCUUCGGCAAUGGACGAAAGUCUGACCGAGCAACGCCGCGUGAGUGAAGAAGGUUUUCGGAUCGUAAAACUCUGUUGUUAGAGAAGAACAAGGAUGAGAGUAACUGUUCAUCCCUUGACGGUAUCUAACCAGAAAGCCACGGCUAACUACGUGCCAGCAGCCGCGGUAAUACGUAGGUGGCAAGCGUUGUCCGGAUUUAUUGGGCGUAAAGCGAGCGCAGGCGGUUUCUUAAGUCUGAUGUGAAAGCCCCCGGCUCAACCGGGGAGGGUCAUUGGAAACUGGGAGACUUGAGUGCAGAAGAGGAGAGUGGAAUUCCAUGUGUAGCGGUGAAAUGCGUAGAUAUAUGGAGGAACACCAGUGGCGAAGGCGGCUCUCUGGUCUGUAACUGACGCUGAGGCUCGAAAGCGUGGGGAGCAAACAGGAUUAGAUACCCUGGUAGUCCACGCCGU
rnacentral:rRNA from 1 species